rnacentral:lncRNA from 10 species
AAGGCUGGCCUAAGAUGUCUCUACCCAGUGGAUGCAGACAUGCCUGGACGUGUUUGGGAACUGUGGAAGCAGCAAGGAGUUCUGAAACCACCUCAUACUUGGAAUAGAAGCCAUGUGAAAACAAAGCCCCUGCAUCACUCCUAUCUGCCUGGAAUGCUGUUGUGUGAAGGUGUAAUGUUUGAAGCUGUGGCUGCCAUCUUGUGACAAAGGGGCACUCCGUGUUGUCAGGAUGAGGACGGCAGAGGAAGAUGCUGGGGAAAGCCUGGAUCUGCGGACAUCUCUGAACCACUACGUCCUGGGACCAGC